rnacentral:SRP_RNA from 1 species
GGUGCGGAUUGGCAAAGCCAGCUCCUGCUGAAUCCUCCAGGUCGGAAACGAAGCAAAGGUAGGUGGUCGAGCGGCUUGUGCCGGUCUGCUUUUUU